rnacentral:rRNA from 1 species
ACCCGGAGGAAGGUGGGGAUGACGUCAAGUCCUCAUGGCCCUUAUGGGUAGGGCUUCACACGUCAUACAAUGGUCGGUACAGAGGGUUGCCAAGCCGCGAGGUGGAGCCAAUCCCUUAAAGCCGAUCGUAGUCCGGAUCGUAGUCUGCAACUCGACUACGUGAGGUCGGAAUCGCUAGUAAUCGCAGGUCAGCAUGCUGCGGUGAAUACGUUCCCGGGUCUU